CAACAUGCUAUAUUAAAAGAAAAAAGGAGUUUUCAACCUUACAGUAGAGGUUGAGUAGUAGUAUAUUUCUCCAACAAAA